GACGAACGCUGGCGGCGUGCUUAACACAUGCAAGUCGAACGAUGACGACCGAGCCUGCUCGGUCUGAUUAGUGGCGAACGGGUGAGUAACACGUGAGCAACCUGCCCUUCACUCUGGGAUAACCUCGGGAAAUCGGGGCUAAUACCGGAUAUGAGCUCCUGUCGCAUGGCGGGGGUUGGAAAGUUUUUCGGUGAGGGAUGGGCUCGCGGCCUAUCAGUUUGUUGGGGGGGGAGUGGCUCACCAAGGGGAUGACGGGUAGCCGGCCUGAGAGGGGGACCGGCCACACUGGGACUGAGACACGGCCCAGACUCCUACGGGAGGCAGCAGUGGGGAAUAUUGCACAAUGGGCGAAAGCCUGAUGCAGCGACGCCGCGUGAGGGAUGACGGCCUUCGGGUUGUAAACCUCUUUCAGCAGGGAAGAAGCGAAAGUGACGGUAACUGCAGAAGAAGCGCCGGCUAACUACGUG
rnacentral:rRNA from 1 species